GAUGAAGAACGUAGCGAAAUGCGAUAAGUAAUGUGAAUUGCAGAAUUCAGUGAAUCAUCGAAUCUUUGAACGCACAUUGCGCCCGCCAGUAUUCUGGCGGGCAUGCCUGUUCGAGCGUCAUUUCAACCAUCAAGCCCCAGGCUUGUGUUGGGGACCUGCGGCUGCCGCAGGCCCUGAAAACCAGUGGCGGGCUCGCUGUCACACCGGGCGUAGUAGAUUUUAUCUCGCUCAGGGCGUGCUGCGGGUCCCGGCCGUUAAAAGCCUUUUUUUACUCAAGGUUGACCUCGGAUCAGGUAGGAAGACCCGCUGAACUUAAGCAUAUCAAUAAGCGGAGGA
rnacentral:misc_RNA from 1 species